CAUACAAUGAGACUGAGUCUCAGACACACAGAAACAUGUAUCCAUUUCAGAUAUGGGUAGAACUGACAGAUUGAUAGCUCUUUCUCAAUUCAGUGGGUGAUGGUGCAAAGCCAUUCAUAGUUGUGAAGCAAUCUGUCUGGUUAAUUCCAAAAACCAAACAAGACUCUGGCCUGCUAACUAGCACAUCAAAUAGCACUAUUCUGGUAGUGCGGCUUUGCUAAAGCUGUCACUGGUUGCUCUGCAUGCAGGCUGAGCUUGCCAUUGCCACCACUCUCUUUCAUGUCCAUUGUUGUGGCCACAGCCAGUUAUCAUAUGGUCAUGACACCAGUUGUAGAGUAAUGACAAUAACCUGAUCAGGUCAGCUCAGCUCACGAAAGCCCAACAAUAGCAUGCUGUUGCAUCUAAGCUGGUUGGUUGGUGAACACAGCACUUCUUAGAGGGAUGGAUGGCAGAAAGUUGCAUGAAGUGGAGUGAUAAUAGGUCUGUGAUACCCUUGGAUGUCCGGGGCUGCACGUGCACUAUCCUGGAGGUAUCUAUGGGUGUGUCUCUCCCAGCCCAGGAGGGUUGAGAAACUUCUGAACUGCCUUCAGUGAUAGGGAUUAGGGCCUGGAACCAACCCUGUGAAGAAGGACUUCUCAGCAGGCAUGGGUCAUAAACUCACAUUGAUCACAUCUCUG
rnacentral:rRNA from 1 species